UGCCCUAUGAUGAAACAUCCCUCACGAUAGGAAGUGCCGUAUGACACCUGUAAAAGCUGUUGCUGUAUCUCCCUUUCUCCUCCAUCUUCACUUCUAUUUUAACUUCAGUGUUUAAACUCCAAUUCAGGUGUUUGCAAAUACUUGGUAGUUGAGAUUGAGGAUAUGAAGUAUGUUGGAUUUAGGGUAGUGCAGCCUGCUUGUGUGAUUUUAAACGGGUCUCUGAGGGCU